UACGUAGGUGGCAAGCGUUAUCCGGAUUUACUGGGUGUAAAGGGCGUGUAGGCGGGACUGCAAGUCAGAUGUGAAAACCACGGGCUCAACCUGUGGCCUGCAUUUGAAACUGUAGUUCUUGAGUACUGGAGAGGCAGACGGAAUUCCUAGUGUAGCGGUGAAAUGCGUAGAUAUUAGGUGGAACACCAGUGGCGAAGGCGGUCUGCUGGACAGCAACUGACGCUGAGGCGCGAAAGCGUGGGGAGCAAACAGG
rnacentral:rRNA from 1 species